CCCAAAAUGAUGAUAUCUUCACAUGUCCGACCUUCUGUAUGGUGCCAGAGCCUGAAAAGGUGAACCCACUGGUACCAUCUGUAGGAGAGGAAGGAUGCAUGUUCCAGCCGGAACAGUCUGACAAGGGU